rnacentral:rRNA from 1 species
CCUACGGGAGGCAGCCGUGGGGAAUAUUGCACAAUGGGGGGAACCCUGAUGCAGCGACGCCGCGUGGGUGAAGGAGUAUUUCGGUAUGUAAAGCCCUAUCAGCAGGGAAGAACAAUGACGGUACCUGACUAAGAAGCACCGGCUAAAUACGUGCCAGCAGCCGCGGUAAUACGUAUGGUGCAAGCGUUAUCCGGAUUUACUGGGUGUAAAGGGAGCGCAGGCGGCGCAUUAAGCCUGGUGUGAAAGUCCGCGGCCCAACCGCGGGACUGCAUUGGGAACUGGCGCGCUGGAGUGCCGGAGGGGUAGGCGGAAUUCCUAGUGUAGCGGUGAAAUGCGUAGAUAUUAGGAGGAACACCAGUGGCGAAGGCGGCCUACUGGACGGUGACUGACGCUGAGGCUCGAAAGCGUGGGGAGCAAACAGGAUUAGAUACCCUUGUAGUC